UGGGGUGCGGUUGCACGCCAUAUCGAUGUACACGACUCUCGGCAAUGGAUAUCUCGGCUCUCGCAUCGAUGAAGAGCGCAGCGAAAUGCGAUACGUGGUGCGAAUUGCAGAAUCCCGCGAACCAUCGAGUCUUUGAACGCAAGUUGCGCCCGAGGCCAACCGGCCAAGGGCACGUCCGCCUGGGCGUCAAGCGUUGCGUCGCUCCAUGCCAACUCAGGCCCACCGAUGGGUGCGCCGGGUAAA
rnacentral:rRNA from 1 species